GACGAACGCUGGCGGCGUGCUUAACACAUGCAAGUCGAACGGAAAGGCCCUGCUUUUGUGGGGUGCUCGAGUGGCGAACGCGUGAGUAACACGUGUGUAACCUCCCCUUGACUUUGGGAUAACUUCAGGAAACUGGGGCUAAUACCGGAUAGGAGCUCCUGCUGCAUGGUGUGGGUUGGAAAGUUUCGGCGGUUGGGGAUGGACUCGCGGCUUAUCAGCUUGUUGGUGGGGUAGUGGCUUACCAAGGCUUUGACGGGUAGCCGGCCUGAGAGGGUGACCGGCCACAAUGGGACUGAGAUACGGCGCAGACUCCUACGGGAGGCAGCAGUGGAGAAUAUUGCACAAUAGGCGGAAGCCUGAUGCAGAAACGCCGCGUGCGGGAUGACGGCCUUCGAGUUGUAAACCACUUUCGACUGUGACGAAGCGUGAGUGACGGUAAUGGGUAAAGAAGCACCGGCUAACUACGUG
rnacentral:rRNA from 1 species